AGGAAUAAAAACAAAAUUUAAAAACACGAUGAAACUCGCUCAUACACUACCACUUCUUUUAACUCCUGCUCCUAUUUGCACCAAACAUUUGCUCUGUUUCUAUGGCUAAUAUACAGUCAAAGCUCAUCAAACGUUUUCAAAUUUGGACAGUCAAUUGCGGAGCUCCUGAUUCUACGUUUCAGGAUUAAGUCAGCUUUUUACAUGCUCCAGCUGUCCAGAUAGGCUCCUAAUUUUCCUCCUGAAUACCUUUUACAGGGCUAAUUUCUAUACUGACUUUUAAAAAAUCCACUAAAUGUAAAAAUAAAAUGCAAAACUUUGCUCUGAAUAAAUUAAAAAUGUUAAAAGAAAUGUA